AUAAUAUUUUGAACCGCAUGGUUCAAAAGUGAAAGACGGUCUUGCUGUCACUUAUAGAUGGAUCCGCGCUGCAUUAGCUAGUUGGUAAGGUAACGGCUUACCAAGGCAACGAUGCAUAGCCGACCUGAGAGGGUGAUCGGCCACACUGGAACUGAGACACGGUCCAGACUCCUACGGGAGGCAGCAGUAGGGAAUCUUCCGCAAUGGGCGAAAGCCUGACGGAGCAACGCCGCGUGAGUGAUGAAGGUCUUCGGAUCGUAAAACUCUGUUAUUAGGGAAGAACAUAUGUGUAAGUAACUGUGCACAUCUUGACGGUACCUAAUCAGAAAGCCACGGCUAACUACGUGCCAGCAGCCGCGGUAAUACGUAGGUGGCAAGCGUUAUCCGGAAUUAUUGGGCGUAAAGCGCGCGUAGGCGGUUUUUUAAGUCUGAUGUGAAAGCCCACGGCUCAACCGUGGAGGGUCAUUGGAAACU
rnacentral:rRNA from 1 species